GACAACAGCCUUUCUGUGAGGAAGGGCUUCUGCGAGGCCCCCGGCAACAGGACCCAGAGUGGCAACCACCCUGAGGACUGGCCUGUGUACCAGGAGCUCCUGGGGAUGGUCCUGUCCAUCUGCUUGUGCCGGCACGUCCAUUCCGAAGACUACAGCAAGGUCCCCAAGUACUGAGGCAGCUGCUAUCCCCAUCUCCCUGCCUGGCCCCCAACCUCAGGGCUCCCAGGGGUCUCCCUGGCUCCCUCCUCCAGGCCUGCCUCCCACUUCACUGCGAAGACCCUCUUGCCCAUCCUGACUGAAAGUAGGGGGCUUUCUGGGGCCUAGCGAUCUCUCCUGGCCUAUCCGCUGCCAGCCUUGAGCCCUGGCUGUUCUGUGGUUCCUCUGCUCACCGCCCAUCAGGGUUCUCUUAGCAACUCAGAGAAAAAUGCUCCCCACAGCGUCCCUGGCGCAGGUGGGCUGGACUUCUACCUGCCCUCAAGGGUGUGUAUAUUGUAUAGGGGCAACUGUAUGAAAAAUUGGGGAGGAGGGGGCCGGGCGCGGUGGCUCACGCCUGUAAUCCCAGCACUUUGGGAGGCCGAGGCGGGUGGAUCACGAGGUCAGGAGAUCGAGACCAUCCUGGCUAACAUGGUGAAACCCCGUCUCUACUAAAAAUACAAAAAAAAUUUAGCCGGGCGCGGUGGCGGGCACCUGUAGUCCCAGCUACUUGGGAGGCUGAGGCAGGAGAAUGGUGUGAACCCGGGAGCGGAGGUUGCAGUGA
rnacentral:lncRNA from 10 species